GACGAACGCUGGCGGCGUGCCUAAUACAUGCAAGAAGAACGCUGAAGAGAGGAGCUUGCUCUUCUUGGAUGAGUUGCGAACGGGUGAGUAACGCGUAGGUAACCUGCCUUGUAGCGGGGGAUAACUAUUGGAAACGAUAGCUAAUACCGCAUAACAAUGGAUGACACAUGUCAUUUAUUUGAAAGGGGCAAUUGCUCCACUACAAGAUGGACCUGCGUUGUAUUAGCUAGUAGGUGAGGUAAUGGCUCACCUAGGCGACGAUACAUAGCCGACCUGAGAGGGUGAUCGGCCACACUGGGACUGAGACACGGCCCAGACUCCUACGGGAGGCAGCAGUAGGGAAUCUUCGGCAAUGGGGGCAACCCUGACCGAGCAACGCCGCGGGAGUGAAGAAGGUUUUCGGAUCGUAAAGCUCUGUUGUAAGUCAAGAACGGGUGUGAGAGUGGAAAGUUCACACUGUGACGGUAGCUUACCAGAAAGGGACGGCUAACUACGUG
rnacentral:rRNA from 1 species